rnacentral:rRNA from 1 species
UACGUAGGGGGCAAGCGUUGUCCGGAUUUAUUGGGCGUAAAGAGCGUGUAGGCGGUUUGGUAGGUCCGUUGUGAAAACUCGAGGCUCAACCUCGAGACGCCGAUGGAAACCAUCAGACUAGAGUCCGGAAGAGGAGAGUGGAAUUCCUGGUGUAGCGGUGAAAUUCGUAGAUAUCGGGAGGAACACCAGAGGCGAAGGCGGCCACCUGGACAGACACUGACGCUGAGACGCGAAAGCGUGGGGAGCAAACAGG